CCGGAGGACGGGGGCACGAGAGCCGUCACGCGGGCCCCCUCCGUCCUGACCGGUGGGACACUGACCCCCCUAUGCCUGCGGGCGCGGGGAGGCGUGGCCUCCCCCUGGGCCGCCGCCUCUGCUGGCUGCUCUGCGCGCUCACCGUGACCUGCAGCCACGCAGAGGCUCCAGUGCCGCAGGAGAAGCAGUCAGGGAGUACCUCCAACGUGCCAUGCUGGCUGGUGGAAGAGUUUGUGGUGUCAGAAGAAUGUGCCCCCUGUUCUAAUUUCCAGGCGAAAACAAUUGCUGAAUGUAGCUCCACAGGCUACCUAGAGAAAAUCACAUGCAGCUCUUCCAAGAAGAAUGAAUUCAAAAGCUGCCGCUCAGCAGUGAGGGAACAACACUUGUUCUGGAAGUUCGAAGGGGCUGUCUUGGGUUUAGCCUUGGUUUUCGCUUGCCUGGUCAUCCUUCGUCAGAGACUGUUGGACCGAAAGGCUCUGGAGAAGGUCCGGAAGCAAAUCGAAUCCAUAUAGCCACAUCCCAGCCCGGCCUCCUAUGACUCAGGACCCCGCCUCAGACAGAGAAAAGGGAACGGAGUGACUGGGACCCCUGGUUCUUCAGAACCCUGGGGUAGUGCCCUCUUCUCCACCAUCUUCUUCCAGAAAUAAAGGCGAAGACCCAUGGAGUAUUCGAGGUGCCCACCCCAAGGCAGUGCCACGUGAUUUGGAGCCCUGAGAACAAAGACCGAGUGGACAUCCAGGUGUUGGCAAGCCAUGGGAGAGCCCUGGCACCCUCAUCGUGCUUGGGGUGUAGGCCAGACAGGAGGGUGGCCGCUGUCCCAGCUCACAUCUCAUCUGCAUGCAGCACCGUUCGGAGGAGCCGGCCGGGCCUGGGCUUUUCUCCCUGCCUCUCAAACGUUGUCCUGGUGGAGUCAUUUGCAUCCUGGGUCCCAGGUGGCCCCCCUGGGCUGGACUCCCCCAAUAAGGCCUCGGGAUUCCCUGGCAUGCCCGUGUGGGUGAGGAUGUUUCUGGAAGUCACUGUGGGGUGACAACAAAAGAGGGCAGUAGUCGAAUGCUCCGCUCAGACCCAGGACCUCCCUCCGGCUGCUUGACUACUGUGGAGAAGACAACCCCCGACUCGUUCAUCGGGUCCUCCCUGCUUUGGCCGCUUACCUCUGCCAGCUCCUGGUUCUGUGCAGAACAGGUAGCCACCCUGUGAAUGUGAAAAGAUGGGACAAAACCGGGCAAUCCUGUGAGCCCCGCCUUUGUCUGUCAGUGCGGGCCCCAGACUCGGCCCUGGAAAGGCAGAGAGGUAGGCCCCAGCGUACCUGCCCUCCAGUCCAUCGAUGUACUCUUUCUUCCUCCGCCUGCUCUCCUGCGCCGACUGCUUGUUACGGAUUUUCCUUCUGACCUUCUUGAGGACUCUCUCCUCAGCCUGAGGGUCCACCCGUGCCCGCGGUGUGUCAGUCCUGGAUCCUUGACCUCCCCAGCCCCCCACCCAUGCUCUGGAAUCCUGGUUCCUAGGCAACCAUGGGGGAGCCUUGACUUGGGCUCCCUGUGCCAGGGAACACGUUACCUUGGUGAGGGGCAGGUGAGAGGGCAGGGAGACCCCUUCCUGGCCCAGCAGAUACUUCUCUUCCUCCGUCAGAAACAGUGUUUGACAUGGGAGCUGGUGAGGGCACCGGAGAAAAUGGGAGCAGGGAGAAGAUCAUUUCAUAUUCAGUACUGGGCUUGCUUUCCCCGCCCUCAUUCCGGGUAGUGUGUCUCACGAGGUGAGGGCAGGGACAGAGACCUUAAUUCAGACCUCAAGUUCCUACCACACGGAGUCCUCUCCCCCACCUCAAGCCAGGGACCUGAGACUGAGAAGGAAGAGCCGAGGAGCUUUGGGCAUAUCCUUUGCUCCUAGAUCCUGGGCCUUGGCAUGCUGAGCAAGCUAAGGGGCUGAGCCUGCUCUGGUCUGUCUCCCUGAGGAUGACCUGGAAGAACUCACAGUGAUAUUGCUGCUCGGUCGCCCAGCAGGCAGAUGAAACACUGGCAGCCACUAGCUUCAUUUGACCAGCUCACGAUCCAGUUCCCUGCCAACCCCAGGGCUCUGCCCAUUCUACCAAAGGUUUGAGCCUGCCUUGAAGGGCUGAGCCUCGGCCUGCUUUCAGACAAGGGACCUCAAGGGUAGCCAGACCCAGCAACUCCUUGCAGGGUAUCUGACAGAGUAGAUGGCGUCUGUGCUGGACUUGAGCCCAUCCCCUGAGUAACUUGACUAAUAUUCAUUUUUGUCAGAUUAUGCUUCCUAGAAGAAUUUGCUUUUAGAGUGACAGGCCACAGAGGCGAUCACUGUCACGUACACAGUCCUGCAAUACGAUUGGAUGCCUGAGCAGACAUGGAGGUUGAAGGGGUGUGGGACUGUACCCCAGAAGAUACAUGGUGGAUAGAGGCUCUUUGUGCUCGUGCGCUGACCUGUGCUGUGAGCCUCUCUGUGAAUGUGAUGGAGCUUGCUGCUGUUAGGUGACAUCCGGUUGCUUCCAAGUCACAGCAACCGGAUGCACAACCGAAGGACGCACUGCCUGGUCCUGCGCCCUCCUGUGUGCCGGGGUACACGGGACCACGUUAGGGAAACGCCCUAGACAUAACCAGAAACCUGGAGGGAACGUCAUGGGGCCUGAGGGCUUACAAGGCCAACAUCACCUGGCACUCACAUAAUCAAUAAAGAUGGGGUCUCAGAAGCUAGUGAGUGGCCCUCCAAGGUCCCCAUCUGGAUGAAAAAGAGUAAAAAGGAAAAAAAAUAAAUAAAUAAAAAGUUUUUUUUAAGGGGUAAAAAGGAAACCAAAGAUGCAUGGAAACAAUUGGUUCAGUGGGCUAAUGAGCCACGUGAACAUCAUCAACCUUGCCAGUCCUAAAAUCUGGAGAUCUAGAUGGUGACCGCCUACCAUGACCAACUGCUCCCUAAUGGAUCACAUUAGAAGGUCCUGCGUAGAGUGGGAGAGAAACGUGGAAUAAAACUCAAAAAAGUCAUCAAAUAGACCAGGUUUCCUGGUCAGAUAGACACUGGUGGGACCUUGCCAUUCUUCAGUCCUGGAACUGAACUCAGCCCUUUGGUUCACUUUGUAGCCAAACAACAGGCAGCUCUAUCAGGGUAACCUUAACAUUAGGGAGGUAGGCGUUCCUUCAAAUAAACCCUUUGGGAUCAAAAGGGCAACGCUUCCUCAAGGAUAAAGUUCAGAAGGAGAAGGAUGGCCACAGGAAUGGAGGAAGUGGGGUUAGGGAUGUUACAUUGUUGGGCUUGCCAUCAAUGACAUGAAACAAUGUGUAUGAAUCAAGAACUGAUUUGCUCUGUAAGCCUCCCAAUUCAUAGUAAAACUUUGUUCUUCAAAAGUA